CGCACCAGGCCGCGGGGGCUCGACGAGGAGACCUGCUCCGCGACGCCCGCGCCCUCGGCCGCCGCGGCCCCGCCCGCCGACGUGCCCAUGGACGCCGACGUCUGGGCGGCGCUCCCGGACGACCUGCUCCUCGAGGUGCUGGCCCGGGUCCCGCCCUUCCUCCUCCCGCGCCUCCGCGCCGUCUCCCGCCGCUGGGCCGCCGCGGUCCCGCGCGAUCCGGCCUUCCUCGCCGCGCACGCCGCCGCGCCCUCCCACGGGCCCUGCGUGCUCGCCUUCGCCCGGGGCUCCGCCCCCGCCCACUGCGCCGCGCUCAGCCUGCCCCUCCGCGCGCGCUACCGGCUGCCCCUCGCCUUCCUCCCCGCCUGGGACCUCUGGCUCGUCGGCUCCUCGGGCGGCCUCGUCUGCUUCUCCGGCUUCGACGCCUCCUCCGUCUUCCGCACCCUCGUCUGCAACCCGCUCACGCAGGCCUGGCGGGUGCUCCCGGAGAUGCAUCACAACCAGCAGCGCCAGCUCGUGCUCGCCGUCGACCGGAAGCUCGGCUCCUUCAAGGUCAUCGCCACCAGCGAUGUCUACGGGGAGACGCUCCCCACCGAGGUCUACGACUCCAAGGCGGACAGAUGGUCAGUGCACCAGAUGAUGCCCGCCGAGAACCUCUGCUCCUCCAAGAUGGCCUUCUGCGACUCCCGGCUGUACCUGGAGACGCUCUCGCCGCUCGGGCUGAUGAUGUACAGAGUGGAUGCGGGCAAAUGGGAGCAUAUACCAGCGAAAUUCCCACGGUCGCUGCUCGAUGGGUAUCUCGUCGCCGGAGCUCGCAAAAGGCUCUUCUUAGUGGGGAGGAUCGGGCUUUACAGCACGCUGCAGAGUAUGAGGAUCUGGGAGCUGGAUCAUGGCAGGACUGUCUGGGUGGAAAUAAGCAGGAUGCCGCCCAAGUACUUCAGGGCUCUGUUAAGGUUGUCUGCCGAGAGAUUCGAGUGCUUUGGGCAGGACAACCUCAUCUGUUUCACCUCGUGGAACCAGGGCAGAGGUCUCCUAUACGAUGUCGACAAGAAAGCUUGGUCGUGGAUUGCUGGCUGCGCAAGCCAAUUGUGCAAUACCCAGUUCUGCUUCUACGAGCCAAGAUUUGACACAUCGAUCUAUUGA
rnacentral:rRNA from 1 species